UAGGCCUUAAGUUAAAUUAAACUAAUAUCCUUCAAAGCUAUAAAUAAAGGCUAUUCCACAACCCUUUAGGUCUUG
rnacentral:tRNA from 4 species